GGGUGUCAAAAUGGUUACCCAACC
rnacentral:siRNA from 1 species